GGGAAUAUUGGACAAUGGGCGCAAGCCUGAUCCAGCCAUGCCGCGUGGAUGAUGAAGGCCCUAGGGUUGUAAAGUCCUUUCGGCGGGGAAGAUAAUGACGGUACCCGCAGAAGAAGCCCCGGCUAACUUCGUGCCAGCAGCCGCGGUAAUACGAAGGGGGCUAGCGUUGCUCGGAAUCACUGGGCGUAAAGCGCACGUAGGCGGCUUUCUAAGUCGGUGGUGAAAUCCUGGAGCUCAACUCCAGAACUGCCUCCGAUACUGGAGAGCUCGAGUCCGGGAGAGGUGAGUGGAACUGCGAGUGUAGAGGUGAAAUUCGUAGAUAUUCGCAAGAACACCAGUGGCGAAGGCGGCUCACUGGCCCGGUACUGACGCUGAGGUGCGAAAGCGUGGGGAGCAAACA
rnacentral:rRNA from 1 species